rnacentral:rRNA from 1 species
UACGUAGGGGGCAAGCGUUGUCCGGAAUCAUUGGGCGUAAAGAGCGUGUAGGCGGUCCGGUAAGUCGGCUGUGAAAGUCCAGGGCUCAACCCUGGGGUGCCGGUCGAUACUGCCGGACUAGAGUUCGGAAGAGGCGGGUGGAAUUCCCGGUGUAGCGGUGAAAUGCGCAGAUAUCGGGAGGAACACCUAUGGCGAAGGCAGCUCGCUGGGACGUUACUGACGCUGAGACGCGAAAGCGUGGGGAGCAAACAGG